UAUAGUUGAUCAUGGCUCAGAAUCAACCGCUGGCGGCGAUGCCUAACACAUGCAAGUCGAACGCGAAAGUCCCGCAAGGGAUGAGUAGAGUGGCAAACGGGUGAGUAACGCGUGGGUGACCUGCCUUCGAGCGGGGGAUAACGUUCCGAAAGGGACGCUAAUACCGCAUAACAUCCUGCCUUUUAAGAGGUGGAGAUCAAAGCCUGGGACCGCAAGGCCAGGCACUCGAAGAGUGGGCCCGCGUCCGAUUAGCUAGUUGGUGGGGUAAUGGCUCACCAAGGCUCCGAUCGGUAUCCGGCCUGAGAGGGCGGACGGACACACUGGGACUGAGACACGGCCCAGACUCCUACGGGAGGCAGCAGUGGGGAAUUGUUCGCAAUGGGCGCAAGCCUGACGACGCAACGCCGCGUGGAGGAUGAAGAUCUUCGGGUCGUAAACUCCUUUCGAUCGAGACGAACGACUUCCGGGUAACAUCCGGGAGAGUGACGGUACCGAGAGAAGAAGCCCCGGCUAACUCCGUGCCAGCAGCCGCGGUA
rnacentral:rRNA from 1 species